AAAUAUUGUUAAUUUAUUAUUUAACCGCUGCUGCAUUUGGUAGUUAACCAGUCAUAAGUAUCCCGUAAAUGCACCAAUUUCUAACCGCAGAACCAGUCGUACAAAUCUUUUAAAACCGCUAGAAACCGUAACCACCCGCAUCCGCAAACUCCCAUAAUCACAACUGCAACCGCUGCGUUUGAACCAGUCAGACCCUUAAAGAUGAUACUUAAAUCUGUUAUUCUUAAUUAAUAUUGUUGGUCUCUUAAAGUUGUAUAUGGUAAUUUAUUUCGUUGAGUAGUUUUAGAAAACUUUGUUAUUUAAUAUUUGAGUUAAUAAAAAAAAAAUUCCAAGACAAAGAGUAAAUAUCCAUAAUUAUAUAAGAUUUUCACUCUAAUAUAUUGAAAAUCAUGAUUUUAAAAUAAAAUAUUUUAAGAAAAUGCAAUGAGUCUUAUGUUGACUUAAAAUAUUUUGAUUCAAACUAACAUAUCUUCAUAAUAUAGAUAUUUCUAUAAUAAAAUUAAAAUUGUAUAUAAAUAUAACUAUAUGAAAAUACAAAUAUGUUUAUCUAACCCGUUUUACGUUGGUUUUUGUUUUAUUUUUAAUAUUUUUUAAAAAUAUUUUGUUUCUAAUAUUUUAAAACUGAAAUAAACUAAUUCAUGUUCUUAACUCGUCAAGCAUCAGAAAAAUUUGUGACUAAUUAAUUAAACAAAUCAGAGCUAGUUGACUAAAUAUUUCUCGGUAAAUAAUAAAUAUACUUAAAUAUAUAUUCUAAGCCAAUAAUUUAGGAACACAUAUAUUAAAUAUAAAUAUAGUUAUAGAAUAGUUUCAUUAUUUUAGUUAUCUAUGAAAAAAACUUAUACAGAAAGUUUGUGAGACAUAAUCUGAACAUACUAUACGGUUUUACGUAUAUAGGAAGCAUAUUUUAUAAAAUAUUAAAUACAAAGAUUCAGUUACAUCGAAAAUAAGAUUCGCUUAAAUAACCUAAGUUUUGCACGUAUUAUUAAUUUAGAAUAAAGUUAAAUACAGUUAUAUAUUAUUUAACUUUAUACAUAGCAUUUAUGGAAUUUAUAAACUAUAUGACCAACUUUAUUUCAUAGAAUUGUCUUCGACCAUCGGCCAUCUCUCCAUAUUUAAUAGAAUCCUAACCAAAAAUUGGUUAAUAUCACACAUUUCAAAUCAUAUGAAACUAAACCGGACAAAACAGAAAGUAAAACCCUGGUUAACCGGACUUGUUGGUUGCACUUGCCCCUAACCACCGCAGUCGUGACUCGUGAUCUUCUGAGUUCCGAGCCACCUCACUCCUCCCAAAGGACAAAAACAGAUCUCGGGAGUGUAACUCAGAAUAGAAGCAGCAGAACAAACAAAUAAAUUAUAGAACAAACCUUACGAAAAAGAAGAAAAAAACAAAUCUUACAAAUAUAUAAAGGAUACAUAGCUUGUAAGCUUGCUUAUAGUCAUGCGGAAACGAAACGCUUGCAAUGGAGAACAUUCAAAUUCCAAACUUUAAUUCAGGAAACAACAAAAAAUCCAAGCUUUGUUAAGAUCUCGACUUUGGAAUUCAAAAAAUCUUUCGUUAGUUACAGUUAAAAGAGAAAGAAAAAUUUAAAUAGUUCCGUGCUUAAAUAAAAAGAAAUUCAAAAAAUAUAAAACUGAAUUAAAAGUAUAGCUUAAAAAUACUUCAAUUGUAUUGUCUCGUAAAUAUUGUUAAAACAGAAGGGCACCUCAAAAACAAUUCCUCAAAAUUAUUACAACUUGAUUUCUUUACAAAAGAGGACAUCACAAUCUUCGGUUGUCACCGCUACAGCUACAGGAUACUGAACAAUGGAAACAUUACCAGAAAAUACCAAGAGAAGCAGAACUAACAAAAGCUUACACAACGAGAACAACAGCAUAUUAUAUAUCAAACCCACAAAAGAUCCUGGCGGAUGCAAAAUAUCUUCAACCCCAAGAAUAGGACAGGUCAAGGACGAGUGGGGUACACGCGCCCUCCGUUGCCUUUCCCGUUGCCGUCGCCAGUAGGCCGGCUAAUAGCGGAGGGAGAAAAGGCAGAGACAAUGGCUUCAACGGCCAUAGUCUUUACCAGCUUCCUCUUAACGGGAAUCACACUCGCUAUUUCUUUCUUCACCUUACGCUCCGACGUAGAACUAGAGCCUUCUCCUUUAGAACUCAUCUUCAAUGUAGAUCUAUGUGUAUAUGUAUGUUUUGUGUUUGUUUGUUGCUUUUGUAAUGGUGAAGCCAUGCAGAAAUGUGGUUGGUUUAUAUAGAAAAGAGGAGAUGCCUUCAAGUGAGUACUGUUAACUUCUGCUCUAAGUUGCUCCAUGUCUUGUCAGCCAUCCAUUGCUGUAAAGAGGAAAUUUACGUUAACACCUUCUACUUCUGAUUUAAGUUCCAAAUUAAAUAAUAAAACCCAAGCGAAAUUUACGUUAAAUUUCGUGCAUUUUGUUCUGGAGUAUAUGUGGAUACAUAUAAACCUCUUAAGAAAUAAAUUAAAAUUAACACUAAACUAAAACUAUAUUUUAAAAUAUUCAUGCAUUAUUUGAUUAAUGUAGUAGUAUGUAUAUAUUUGGUAGAUGAGGAGCCGGCAACUUGGGAACUAAGUACCGGUCUGCCGCUGUUACAAGAAACUGGGAAGACAACAGUCCACAUAUAUGUCAUCGGGAGUAUUUUUUAUUCAAUACUUUCUAUAAAAUACAUAAGUACAUAAAUAACUAAAUAUAUAUAUGUAUAUAAAUAUAAUGUGAAAGGAGCUUUAUUUAUCUUUCAUUAUAUCAAUAUACUGUAUAUAUCUCAUCAUUUAAUAAUAAGUAGUGUUUUAGUAUUGUUAUCUCUGUUUCAAAAAAGAGCUUUAAUUAUUAGAUGUUCUACAUCCUGUAAUAAAUCAUUGGGCAGUAUAUAUGUGUAUGGUUAAUUUUCCACUUUUUAAGGUAGUUUUUGGGUGUGAGUUAUGUCCAUCACCAAUAUGAUAUCAGAGUCUAUGGUUAAACCCAACAGAUGAUUUCCCAUAUAAACAGUUUUUUACCUAUGUAGACUGUAAAAAUGAUCCAUCUUGUUGUGGUAUGUCCGAGAUGUUGGACUUGGACUGUUUCCAUUGGACCGUUUUCCACCCACAUCAUGAGAGGGGCUAUUAGAUGUUUCACAUCGUGUAAUAACAUGAUCUUUGGGCAAUAUAUAUGUGUAUGGAUAAUCUUCCACUCCUGAGCUGGCUUUUGGAUGUGAGUUAGACUCAUCACUAAUAUUUAUAUUUCAAAUACAUCUAAGACGAUGACAAAAAUAAACUAUUUUAUUUGUAUUUUUGUCUUAUUCUUUUUUUUUUUUUGAUAAAAGCUGUCUUCUUUUUAUUAUUAUGUUCUAACUAAUCAUAUAAUUGUAAGUGAUGUUUUAGUAUUAUAUAAUAUAUAUUAUAGCAAUGUAGUAAAUAAUCAUGGGAAAUUUGAAUGCAUAACAAUAGCAAAAUACGAAACAUAGAUUCUAACCAUAUUAUAUGUUAGGCUACGAUAUAUUGAGCCAUAUUUAUGUAUAAUGACAACAAUGCCCCGCGCGUGAGCAAGCAUAUGCCUACCGUUUCUUCUAUUUUUCUUUAUCCAGGAAACUGAACAGUUUUCAUUCACUUUAUAACCCUAACAAAGCAACAAAGAAGAAAGAUUUGGAGAGAGAGUUUUGGUGGAAUUGCGGUGGGAUUUCGGAUACAAAAGGCGGUGGUAAGUGGCAUACGUAGGCCGAUUUCAGACGGGAAAGCAAAGGCAUCAAGGGAGAUCUGCGUGAACGGGGUCAUCGACCGAAGCGUUGUAAGGAUGGAAGAGUUAGAUUUGCCAGAACGCUUGUUUCAGACAGGGUAUGAUCCCACGGACCGGAAAAGAAUUAACAACUAUUUCAAUUUGCGGUGGAUUGAGGCUGUAAAAGCAGCACUUUCAGAUUCUCAGCAGGAGAUUUUGGCGGAAUCUCAGUUUAGACAACUAAUGCUUAUGGGGGCUCAUACAUUUUCAGUAAUGUUUGCACACCAGUUGUUGUCAGGGCAGUUGGUGAUUAGGAAGUUGUAUGAGCUGUGGUGGUUGUUUGUAGGAAAGUCAAUUUGUUAUGGUACUGGGGACUUUGCCUUAGUUACAUGUCUCAAUUGUGUGACACCGCCAACGCCGUCGGUGGGUGGGCAGCAGAUGGGAAAAGGAAAAGGCAAAUCAAAGGAAAAACAAUUAGGUGGUGAUGGAGUUGUUUGGAAAUCAUUAUUUGGCAGUGGGGAGACGAUAACCCCAGAGUGGAUCCUAUGCAGGUUGAGCCAAAAAAACAAAUACAAAGAUGAAGACACUAGAUUGCGUUUGUGUCUUUUCCUGCUAGUAGAAGGUAUUCUAUACCCAACUAAUGGUUCAACACAGAUUAAUAUGCAUAUUAAUUGUAUAUAUGUAUCCUUUAGAGGAGGAUCAAUAAAUUUCGAGCACUUUAAGUUCACUAGUUGUAUCAUGUUUUUCUUUUGCAAUUAGUGUAGGACUUAUGUCAAACUGUACGAUACUAUAUUAUACAACAUAUAGUAUAGUUUGAAAUGGCCAUCAUGCUUAAUAUACGAGCUACACAAAUGCGUACAUGUGGAGUAUUGUUGUAUAGUAGAGUAUAGUACAGUUUGUCACAAGUUUUCCUACCCUUGGUUAAAUGUAUAUCGGUUUCCUACAAAAGAGAAUCCAGAAAUUUUGAGCAUUUUAAGUUCACUGGUUAUAUCAUUUUUUUCCUUUGCAAUCAGUGUAGAACUUGUGUCAAACUAUACGAUACUAUAAUAUACAACAUAUAGUAUAGUCUGAAACGGCAAUCAUGCUUAAUAAUCGAGAGUGGCGUACUUGGUUAAAAAGGAAUUCAUUGAACUCACAAAAUUUGGGUAUGAAUCUUUCUCCUGACCCAUUAACUAUAUUUUGACCCCUCAAAAAAUUUUUUUGGAUUCGCUACUGGCUGGAACUUGUCUGAACACAUGUAUUGAAGAUCUGACUUUUUUAUUUAAACUAUACCAUAUAUUGUAUAGUAUAGUUUUUUUUUGGGUCACCUCCGACCUAUAUAAUUGGAACCUUAUUCAACUUCAUAUUAGAACGUCGAAACAAAGCGAACUUGGAGAUCUAUGGUUUUUACCAAAAUGUGGACAUACUAAAUUGAAUAUAAGAUUGUCUUCUUUCUAUUAUACAUAAUAGAAAAAAAAUCGUUUAAAAGCAAUUGAACAUGUGUUUUUAACUUCACUCCUCUUCCUUCUACGCACACGCGCAUACAGGGUUAUUCCUGGCAAUAUUGGAUGUAACUAGUUCCAUCAAGAACUUUCUCAUGUAGAAUGGAUAUAAGCUUAAUAUUAGAGUCCAAUAUGAAUGUUCACCAAAUUUCAAUAAUCACUGAUGCUUGCAAUUAUAUUAAUCGAUAAUUUUAAAUAAUAAUGUUGUCAAACAUAAUAUAUUUUAAAACCUUAUAAUAUAAAAUAUAAUUUUCUUAUAUAUGAUCAUCCUAAUGUUUCUGCUUUAUUACUAUUAAUGUCCAAAAUAUCUUGUUACAAAGAGAAUCAAUAGAUAUGACCAUGUUGAAAAUAAUUAUGUAGAAACAUGAUUACAUUUGUAGAUCUGCUUUGGAUCUAGAGAAUCUCCUUUUCAAGUUUUCCAUGUAAUCGUCUAGGGAUAACUGAAGCCAUCAUAUCCUCUCUCUCUCUCUCUCUCUCUCUCUCUUGUAAAUUCGUUUCUUUUCUUUUUCCUAUUUCUGUGUUUUGUACUUUCUGUCUAUUAUUAUAUUUUCUGCAUGUUCAGACUAGUUCAGAUCACAACAGAUAUACUUGGUCGUUAGGAACUGUCCAAAGAUCAGCCAAGGACCCAUUAUAUUUUCUAAAAUUUUACAUUUAUGAGACCUAAAGAUUUUGUUGUCAGAUACUUGCGAGGAAAAAUGAAAGAAACGUAACGGAGAUUUGAUUACAGAACAAACACAAUUAUAGGUUUUAGAGUUAGAUUCAAAUACAACCAUGAUGAAUAAUAUCGGCUGUGAAUUAGCAUGAUUUUCAAACAGAAAUUAUUAAUAAUAAUAAAUAUUUUAGAAAAAUCUAUUCACAAUACCGUGGACCAGCUGUCGAGUCCUAAUCAGACGUGGACAUUAUUAUAUCCAAUAAAUUAUAAGUUUGUUUUCCAUCUAAUAAAUGAUGAUAAUAGUAAUAAAAUGGACGAACCCAAGCUUGUUUCCGUGUAUAAGUAUAAAUUUAUAUCGCGAGUAUACAUUAAUCAGUUGGAAUAUUAAACUGUGUGUUAACUAGACUUCGAAAAUAAAUAAAUGAACUGGCAAAAGGGUCACGGUGCAGUGGAACUUCUUUGCCAAGACAAUGUUAAGUGAUUUACAAUUAAGAUGAUACAACAUACAUGAACAUGAAGUUAUUUCCAAGUGAUUUAUCCUAGUUAUUUAAAUUAAUUAGACAAUAGCAUUCAUUUGUCACCUUCGGACUUAUUGUAUUUCUUUAAUGUUGGAUUGUGGCUGCAAACAGCAAAUGGCAAACAAAAGAUACUACUAAUUUAUUAUCAACAGUACAUAAUAGUCUUGAAAAUCUGUACGAACAUAAUAUUAGUUUUCUAUCUUCAUGGCAAGUUUUAUUCUAUUAGUGUAAUUAAACGACCAAUAAUUACUUUGUCUUGAAUUAUUUGAUCUCUCAUUUUCUUCGUUGAUUUUAGACAUAAUGUCGACUAUACUUGUAGAAACUAAAUACUUAAAAUUUAAUUUGACUGCUUUUAUUUCGUUUUUAUCUUUUAAAAUAAUCAUUUCUAAGGUUAGAGUGCAUAUAGAGCUAUAAGUUUAGGAUCGAUACUCGUCAAGAAACUUAAUUACGCAUAUAAUAAUCUGGGUUUUAAUAAUAUAUAGUUUAAAGUGUUCUCACUUGGCACCAUGUAAACAUAUAAACUUUUUACGUCGUGGGAAAAGACUAAAUUUCUAAGAACUUUACUACCAUGAUGACAUAUAGUGUUUUAGAAAUUACCAUUACUUACAAUGUUAGUUAUUUUUAACCCGAUUAACCCAUAAUGGUCAUGUCUUUUACACAUAAGCAUUCAUUGGUUUUGUAGUUUUUUUAGUUAGCGUUUUCUGUCUCUUUUAUCUAUGUUUACAAUGAAAACAACAUAUACUCUAUCUAUUUUCGAAUGUAAGAUUUUUUAUUUCAUAAAUAGAUUUUUAUAUUAUUAAAGUAUUUUGUCUAUUUUAAAAUAUUAAAAAUUAUUAAUUGAUAAUUAUUAAAAAUAUAUAGUAAAAUAAACAACAGAUUUAGUUAUAAAUAUUUAUUAUAUGCUCUUUCGGAAACGGGAAAUGGAAGGAGUAUGAAAUAGCAUGAAGCACUAUUUGUAGCAGAUCACAGUUCACAGGGCAUACAAAAAAGCACGAGGAAUAUCUACAAUAUAAACAACAUAAAGUCAUAAACAUUGUUUAUUUUUAAAGAGCACACAUGUCAUCGUACUAUAAAUUAACGCUCCACAAGAAAGAGAAAUAUCAGAACUGAAGGCUACCGGAGUCCGGAGCGUGGUCCACACACGCUUACUCUUCAUCGGUUCAACUAUCUGCUUGGGCUUUAAACGAGGCCGAGAUGGAAACACAGCUUCCAGGAUCAUCGUCUUCACUAACUUCCUCUCUUUUGGUAACACUCCCUUGUUUCGGCCCCAACCGCAGCGGCCGCCACUCUCCAUCCUCUACUGCAUCCGCAUGUUUCACCACUGAGCUGCGUCUUCACUCUGUUUGUGUGAUUUUGUCUUGAGGUCUUAUGGAGAACCAUAAGUUCCUAGAUUAGCUUCAAUUUGUCAGUUGAUGAUACUUAUUCGAGAAGCUAGCAUUUAAUUAAAAUAACAUUUCUGUCUUUUUUUUUAAUUUUGAUAUUUCCCACGUGGCUCUAGCCUUGUAUAUUAAGCUUCAUAAAGAACCACUUACGUGCAAUUAGUUAUUUAAUCAAGUGAUACUAAUUAUUAGUGCUUAAAGAAAUUUUUUUUUUCUCGAGUUAAUUAUGACAUAUGGAUUGGAUUGGUCCCUAUUUCAAGUUUUUUCUUUCUUUCUUUCUACUUUCGCUUUUCGACCCUUAAUCAUAAGUUUAAUUAUUAAUCUGAAAGAGCUGUUUACUAGUACUAGUUAUCAUCUUUUGUCACGUGAAACAGGAGCUCAAAUUACUAUGUACGUACAAUUCGAUUAGAAACAAGUGUACCUAUGGUAUAGGCUAUAUAAGAAUAACUAACCGAUUAAAAUUAGCGAAUAGUCGAUAGUACUAAUCGUGCCAGAAGUUAAAAUAGAAAACUCGAUCUCACAACUUUAAGGAAACGUGAGCUGGAUUAGUAAUAUGUUGGAUUAUUGGCACUAUUAGCCUAUCGUAGGAUUAAAAUUAGCGAAUAGUCGAUAGUACUAUUCGUCAACGUUAUUUUACUACUCUUUCUACAUCAUUUUAAGUGGUUUUAAAGGUUUUUUAGAAAAAUUGAAUACAAAAUUUUAUGUAGUUUAUCGUGGUUACAUAAAAGUAGUAUUAAAUAAAAAUAGUUUAACCAAUAAAAAAAUAUAGUAUUUUGUAACUGGUUACAACUUUUAAAUAACAUUAAAUUUUAUUUAGAUUAGUGAGAACGUCAUUUACUAUGAAACAAAAUUAAAAUCUUUAAACAUCAUUUAAAAUGAUACGGAGAGAGUAUGUUUUAUAUGCGAAAAAAUUAAAACUAUGAAAGUAACUCCAUUUGCAUAACACUACUCGCUUUUAGUUUCCAGAUACGAGAUAAAAAAAGUAAAAUUUAAUACUAGUAACAAUGAUCAUUCAAAAUUCAUCAAUAUGAAUGAACAAAACACAAAUUUGUACAUGAGCAUAUACUACUGUUUGACGGAAAUUGAACUGAAUUGGAAAAUAUUUUUUAAUCGUUGCUACGUUGUAUAUAUUAAUCACUAACAUUUCUUAAAGUUUAGGUCAAUAAAAAUAAUAUUAUGAUUUAAAUACACUCAAAAUUUGGACGAAUGAACUUGAAAAGAAAAACUAUAAUUCGUUUUUAAGAAAAAUACAACAAAAGUCCACACGCUUUCCAUAAACACAAAGAAACAAGUCUGGUCAAAAUGCAUUAAAUAUUGCUCCAAUUUAGAUUCCAUGCUGAAACUAAAUAGGUUAAUUAGACAGCACAGUGGCAUAUGUAAUCAGAUAGAUGAUUAGAAACUGUUAACAUAGUUAUAACAAACAAAAAGAGUACUGACUAGAUAGUAGUAGCAUAAACAUAAUCCAUACAACAUGGGUUUCUUUACAAAAGAUGAUAUCGUAAUCGUCGUCACCCUAACUUACCUGCCGGAACAUGAACAAUACAAACAUUCAGAUACAAAGAGACGCAUUAUUAGAUUACACAUAGACGAAAAGAACACCACCUUAUCAUAAACAUAAUUACAUAACCCAUACAACAUGUUUUCUACAAGACGAUGAUAUCAUCAUAAUCAUCUCACCCUCUACCGGCCGGAACAAGAACAAUACAAACAUUCAAACUUAAGAGAAACAAAGAGACGCAUUAAUUACUACAUCAAAUUUAGACGACAAGAACACCAACUUAUGCAUAUAAAAGCACACAAAAAAAAAGACAGAAGAGUUCACAACGGUGGCGCAAAUAUCUUCAACCCCAAGAAAAGGACGGAUCAGCGACGAGUAGGGUGCACGCGCCCUCCGUUACCGUUGCCGCCGGUAGGCUCGGAACCCCGGGUGCUACCAGAGCGGGUGAAGGCAGAGAUAAUGGUUUUCACGGCCAUAGUCUUUACCAGCUUUCUCUCAACGGGAAUCACACUAGCUGUGUCUUUCUUCACCAUCCGAUCAGCCAUAGAACUAGAGUCUUCUCCUUUGGAACUCAUCUUAAGCCUUCUUAUGUAGAUGUAUUAGUUUCUAUGUAUGUAUGUGUCUUGUGUAUGUGUGUAUCAGUAUAUGUGUAUGUUGUUGUAUUUGUGAAGCAAUGCAAGGUUUCUUUAUAUAGAGAGGAUAUGCCUAUCAGGAGGAAAUUCAUUUACCAUAUCUUACUUAUGGUAUAAGCUUGGAAAGGAAAAAUUAAAGAAAAUCAAGCGAAACUUACAUUUAUUUCCUAUAAUUUUGAUAGUUCUGGUUUAGAUAGACAAGAAAAUCCACGUGUGAACCACACAUUUGUUGUAAAUAUGAUUUUAAUUAAAAAACGAUCUCUUUUUUUCUUUCUAAAAAUUAAAAACGAUCUCCUACUUAUGAUUUAAGCUUCAAAUGGAAAAGAAAAAUAAAAUCAAGCGAAACUUCCGUUCAAUUUCCUUAAAUUUUCGUAGUUCGGAUUUAAAUAAACUAAGAUAGUUAAAAUAACAUUACAAUAAUAUUUGACUCCGUUCCUCCGAGAUGGUUCUCGGCUCAGGAAUCUACUUAGUUUAGCUUUGCUUCUUUGU